GCAUAUCAAUAAGCGGAGGAAAAGAAACUAACAAAGGAUUCCCCUAGUAACUGCGAGUGAAGCGGGAAAAGCUCAAAUUUAAAAUCUGGCGGUCUUUGGCCGUCCGAGUUGUAAUCUAGAGAAGUGUUAUCCGCGCUGGACCGUGUACAAGUCUCCUGGAAUGGAGCGUCAUAGAGGGUGAGAAUCCCGUCUUUGACACGGACUCCCAGGGCUUUGUGAUGCGCUCUCAAAGAGUCGAGUUGUUUGGGAAUGCAGCUCCAAAUGGGUGGUAAAUUCCAUCUAAAGCUAAAUAUUGGCGAGAGACCGAUAGCGAACAAGUACCGUGAGGGAAAGAUGAAAAGAACUUUGGAAAGAGAGUUAAACAGUACGUGAAAUUGCUGAAAGGGAAACGCUUGAAGUCAGUCGCGUUGGCCGGGAAUCAACCUUGCUUUUGCUGGGCGUACUUUCCGGUCGACGGGUCAGCAUCAAUUUUGACCGUUGGAUAAAGUCUAGAGGAAUGUGGCAUCUUCGGGUGUGUUAUAGCCUCUGGUCGCAUACGACGGUUGGGAUUGAGGAACUCAGCACGCCGCAAGGCCGGGUACUCGUACCACGAUCGUGCUUAGGAUGCUGGCAUAAUGGCUUUAAUCGACCCGUCUUGAAACACGGACCAAGGAGUCUAACAUGCCUGCGAGUGUUUGGGUGGAAAACCCGAGCGCGUAAUGAAAGUGAAAGUUGAGAUCCCUGUCGCGGGGAGCAUCGACGCCCGGACCAGACCUUUUGUGACGGUUCCGCGGUAGAGCAUGUAUGUUGGGACCCGAAAGAUGGUGAACUAUGCCUGAAUAGGGUGAAGCCAGAGGAAACUCUGGUGGAGGCUCGUAGCGAUUCUGACGUGCAAAUCGAUCGUCAAAUUUGGGUAUAGGGGCGAAAGACUAA
rnacentral:rRNA from 1 species